CGGUAAAGAAAACUGUCUCACAUAUGAGAUUUUUUAAUGCAUCUGAAUCUUUAUUCUACAACACAAGCAACAUAAAUACAAUAUCUUUUAAAAUAUUUUCUCUUUAGAAUUUUCAUUUUCACUUCGGAUAAAAUGUACACAAAAUACGCUUGCAAGCUUGCUUACAGGGACCUGUUAAACAACAGACAGACGGAUUGUAUCAAAUCAAACAGUUAUAUCAAGAUACAAAGAAGGGUGGUUUCCUGUGUUUUUUAAAAAAUAAAUGUGACCAAACUGACUAAAUAAGGCAAAACAGAAAUUGUACUUCCUUGACCAGUCCUUUGGAGCAAAGGAAAUGCUCUGAGGCUCCUGGUGAACGGGUUGCAAGGAUGAAUUUUGCGUUCUACAGAUAAAAUGGCAUACUGACUCAAAUCUUUAUGGCUAUACCAAGCUUCGCUUAUUUAUAAUUUUCAAUGAAAACAAGUUGAUUCUUUGGCAUAAACAAGACAGGAUAAAGGACCCUCACCACCACUGGCUUUAAUGUUUAGAGUGGGAGACGGGGGUAGGGGAACUGUUCAUAACGUGAUUUAAGCUUAUUCCUCUUCGAGAAGCAGGAAAAUCAUCUUGAAUAAUAGUCCUUUGGCUUCAUUAGGGCCACAAACCUCUUAUUCUUAGCUCCCUUCUUCCCAAUCCCCUGACACAAAACCACCCAGCCCUUCCUUUCCCAGGAACGUCCUCUGGCUCCCAUCAGCCACACCGAUAUCCCACCACGUGGCUGGAACUCAAGUGAAACCAAACAUAGUAAAGCAUUAAUCUUUGUCCAGUUUUGCCUAUUGAGUGGGAAACCGAUUUUUAUUAGAGAGGACCACUUCUGAAAAGAAUCAGUUGGAAUGCACAGGGAGGAGCAGAGAGCAGCUUGCACGUAAUCACAAGGUAGCGUGGAUGCCACCGGAGGCUGGAGUGUCAGGGGUUUGAGCUCCCCACUUAAAGAGGAAACAUAACAUUAUACAUGUUGGUUCAAAAGACUGACUUUUAGAUUCCCCCGCCCCUUUUUGGCACCAGUUGGUAAAACAAAUUCAAAAUAAAUUAUUCCUAGAGAUUAAUUUUUAAAACUUAAUUAAAAAUCAGUUAUUAUUAAAAGAACACAAUUUGCAAAAAUGAUUCUGGGAAACAAGUGAAAUAAAAAAGCUUCAAUUAUUUCCUCUACAGAGGCAAGGACUUGAAUCCUUGAUAUGAUUAACACUUCGAUGCGCUUUCUCAUUCUAGUAAACAUAGUCAUUACUUUCUACUCAUACAGCAAUCUAAAGUAAUUUAAAUAACAUCAGGGUAUUUAAACAUAAGUCUUUAGAGAAACUUUAUUAGAUCAAUAAGAAUUGUGUGUAAUUAAUACAGUUUAUAUGGUGAUGAUUUUAAGGUAUAUAAUUUCUCUUGAAUUAUUCCCUCAAUGAUCCUUAUGUUUUUAAUGGAAAAAAUUCUGAAGCUAAUUAAUUGAACAAAGUGUUAAGAGAUAAACUAAGACCCCAUCCAUAUUUGAGUUAAUGUGACUUCACUGUAUUCCCAGAGCAUAUUCAUGACUUCUACGUUUUUCCCAUGAUUUGGAAGAUGAGAUCAUGAACAUUGUCUCCACUGUGCAGGCACACGCACAAACAAAACACAUUUACCAAAAAGCUCUUAAAACAGGCACGUGUACUGCUCAAAAGGGGGUUGGUUCAGUUUGCAAAUUUCCAUGAAGCCAUUUGGUAGGUUCCUUAGAGAUAAAUAAGAUAUUAAAAUAUUAAUUUAUACCAAGCAGCUAAGGGAUGGAUGACGGUGCAUUCAGCAGGGAUAUCGUCUCUUGACGUGCUGAUAUUCUAAUGACUAAGGAGGGAUGCAAAACGACUGGCCAGUGAGCCACUGCGCAAACACCUCUGGAAGCCAGAAGCCAAGGCUGACCUCAAAGGCCGUAGCUGGAGGUGCUUUCAAGGCAGUGGUUCUCCACAUGUGGUCCCCAGACCAGCAGCCCCAUCCACACCCGGGGACAGGUUAGAAAUGCAAAUUUCCAGACCUAGUGAAUCAGAAACCC
ensembl:lncRNA